rnacentral:siRNA from 1 species
UAUCAUUGGUAGGCAAACCGGC